GGCCGCCUGGCGAAAUGGCAUCGCGUCUGACUACGAUUCAAGAGAUUGUAGGUUCGACCCCUGUGGUGGUCA
rnacentral:tRNA from 1 species